AAUUUAAUAAGUUGUCACUGUUGUGUAUAACAAUAAAGAAUAUAUCGGGUCAAUAAAGAAAAAUAUAUGGAUAUGUUCAGUCUUUUUAAUUAAUGUUACUAUAAAAUAAGCCAUCACCAUUAUGUAAACAUGUUUAAUGUAAACAUGACGCUUAAGUACAGAAUUCAGUCAUCACCACGGCUCUGAAUAUGUCCUUGUCCACAGGAGAGGCAACAUGAGCCACCAAGCUGGACUUCAUUAUUAUGACGCAGACUUAUGCCAAUAUGCUGUAAAGGCAGGCUAGAUUUACACGCAGUGUGUAAAUUCGUCCCUUUGGACCAACGUGUUGACAGGUUUCCAUUGCACACCCAGAAUGGUGCUCCUUGUGCUAAAACCAGCUCCCAGUGAUGCGAGGCUCCACGAGGACUGUAAUCCCCAGUCGCGCAUAAAUCUAAGUCCAACUGCUGACUAUAAAUUCGAAAAAAGACGGCGGCGUUCGCGCUCGCCAUGUGCUAGCCAGAAUCCAGUCAUCUCUGGUCUGAGCAGGACAUAGUGUUGUCUCACCUGGAAGUCAAAGCCAAUGGUGUCAAUGGAGACGACAGAGCGACGGGCGAAGUUCUGCAAGGUGCCGGUGAGGAAGGCCUGAGGGAAGAAGAAGCCACUGAUCCAAAAGACGGCCGGGACGCCAUCUGAGAUCCAGCCCUUCAGAAAGUCGAUCCUCUGCAGCAGGUCAGACACCCAGGAUGAGAGGGGCUUCAGUGAUGGAUAAGCCUGGAGAAGAGUCAAAGGGACAGAUCAGGUGACACACAAACUUACCUUUCAUAGAGAAACCUUUUAUCAGGAUGAGAUGGGCUUCAGUGAUGAACAGGUCUAAGAAGUCAAAGGGACAUAUCACACAAAUUUGUUUUACACAGAGAGACCUUUGAUCAGCUUCAGGCAGGGCCACAGGAAUCUCACCUUGGCAUUCCACAUGUCUGGCACUCUGUUGUUGUACAGGCUGUGGGCCAUCAGCUCUAGCUGUGAUGACAUCACUACCAGCCCUUUGAGAGCUUUUACCAGGUCAGAGAGGC